rnacentral:snoRNA from 1 species
AUGAUGAAGGGAUCGAUGGUGUGACCACAUGACGAGGGAAGAGACGAUCUGA